AACUUUUAAAGGAUAAUAGCAAUCCCG
rnacentral:tRNA from 1 species